rnacentral:rRNA from 1 species
CCUACGGGGGGCAGCAGUGAGGAAUAUUGGUCAAUGGGCUUACGCCUGAACCAGCCAAGUCGCGUGAGGGAAGACUGCCCUAUGGGUUGUAAACCUCUUUUGUCAGGGAGCAAUUGGCGCUACGUGUAGCGUUAUCGAGAGUACCUGAAGAAAAAGCAUCGGCUAACUCCGUGCCAGCAGCCGCGGUAAUACGGAGGAUGCGAGCGGUAUCCGGAUUUAUUGGGGUUAAAGGGUGCGUAGGCGGAAUGCCAAGUCAGCGGUAAAAUCGCGGGGCUCAACCUCGCUCCGCCGUUGAUACUGGCAGUCUUGAGUACAGUUGAGGUAGGCGGAAUUCGUGGUGUAGCGGUGAAAUGCUUAGAUAUCACGAAGAACUCCGAUUGCGAAGGCAGCUUACUAAACUGCCACUGACAUUGAUGCUCGAAAGUGUGGGUAUCAAACAGGAUUAGAUACCCUAGUAGUC